GUCUUCGAGUCGUUGAUUUCACACUGCCGAGAAAAGCCUCUAGAUAGAAAAUAGGUGCCCGUACCGCAAACCGACACAGGUAGUCAAGAUGAGAAUUCUAAGGUGAGCGAGCGAACUCUCGUUAAGGAACUCGGCAAAAUGACCCCGUAACUUCGGGAGAAGGGGUGCUCUUUAGGGUUAACGCCCUGAAGAGCCGCAGUGAAGAGGCCCAAGCUACGGUUUAGCUAAAACACAGGUCUCAGCUAAACUGGAAGGUGAUGUAGAGGGUCUGACGCCUGCCCGGUGCUGGAAGGUUAAGAGGAGUGGUUAGCUUCUGCGAAGCUACGAAUCUAAGCCCCAGUAAACGGCGGCCGUAACUAGAACGGUCCUAAGGUAGCGAAAUUCCUUGUCGGGUAAGUUCCGACCCGCACGAAAGGCGUAACGAUUUGGGCACUGUCUCAACGAGAGACUCGGUGAAAUCAUAGUACCUGUGAAGAUGCAGGUUACCC
rnacentral:rRNA from 1 species